rnacentral:rRNA from 1 species
UGGGGAAUAUUGGACAAUGGGCGCAAGCCUGAUCCAGCCAUGCCGCGUGAGUGAUGAAGGCCUUAGGGUUGUAGAGCUCUUUCGCCGACGAAGAUAAUGACGGUAGUCGGAGAAGAAGCCCCGGNUAACUUCGUGCCAGCAGCCGCGGUAAUACGAAGGGGGCUAGCGUUNUUCGGAAUCACUGGGCGUAAAGCGCACGUAGGCGGAUUGUUAAGUCAGGGGUGAAAGCCUGGAGCUCAACUCCAGAACUGCCCUUGAUACUGGCAAUCUCGAGUCCGGAAGAGGUAAGUGGAACUGCGAGUGUAGAGGUGAAAUUCGUAGAUAUUCGCAAGAACACCAGUGGCGAAGGCGGCUUACUGGUCCGGUACUGACGCUGAGGUGCGAAAAGCGUGGGGAGCAAAACAGGAUUAGAUACCCUGGUAGUCCACGCCGUAAAACGAUGGAGGCUAGCCGUUGGCGAGCAUGCUCGUCAGUGGCGCAGCUAACGCAUUAAGCCUCCCCGCCCUGGGGGAGUACGGUCGCAAGAUU